ensembl:lncRNA
AGAACAUCGUCUCUGCUUUGUUUGUUCUGUCUCCCUCAGAGGCAUAUUGAGCCCAGACUCCUGCUCUGACCAUGGAAGAUCCACUCCAUCUGAACUCAAUCCUUAACUUGACCACCAUCUCUACAACCGUCCCACUCAACGCCUCAGCCGGCGACUUGGUCACGAAUGCUACAGUCAGUCCCUUCAGCGUGUUUGAGGGAUGUGAGGAGAUGGAGCAGGGCAUCCUUUUCGACCUGGCUGUUCAGACAUUUAAUGUUGUACUGGGACUCCCUGCUAACAUCUUAGUCAUUGUGAUUCUGCUCCAUAACCGAAAGGAGCCGUCUUCCUCUGACCUCUUCCUGGGCUGUCUGGCCUUUAUGGAUGCUUACUUCGGCAUCAUGGUCCCAUUCAGCUAUCUCAACCUAUACUACUGGAACAGCAAGGAGGUCUGGUCUGCACUCAAGUUCUCCUACGGUGUCAAGGACACUAGCGGCCCUCUGUUCCUGUCCUGUAUUUGUUUGGAUCGGUUCGUGGCCGUGCUCUUCCCUCUUGCCUAUGGCCAGCUGAAAGCUGUCAAGUACAGGGUGGCACUUUCCAUGGGGGUCCUGACGCUCACCUUCGCUUAUGCCUCGGCCAAGACCAUCGGGGGGCUGCACAACUUUGAGAAGGUUUUCACAGGGGAGAUCUUAGCAGCGUUCUCCUGGAUGGUGUUGUGUAACGGGGCCAUCCUGAUGGCAUUGAAGAGGUCCCGCGGUGCCGGAAAGGACAGUAUGCACCCCAUGAAGAAAAAAGCCUUUAAAAUGGUGGUGUCAGUCCUGUCCAUUGUCAUUUUUAACUACCUGCCGCCGGUGGCUCUGUUCCCCCUUGAGGACCACUACCCUCCGGAUACGUUCCGCUGCCUGGUUCAGCCAGUGGGCUACGCCUUCCUCAACAUCAGCAGUAGCAUCCAGCCAAUCAUCUACCUCUCUCGUCUGGAGAAGGUCCCGUUUUGUCCCGAGACCUUUAGCAGAUGGUGCGGCUUCCCUAAAGUGAAGGACAAGAAUGUCAACGUGAACAUAAAUACUGCGUCCUUGGCUGCUUAAUGACAAAGGUCACCAAUAAGCAAAAAUUUGAUGUUUCUUUAAGUGCAGUUUUUAAACAUGUUACAGCUGGAAAAUGGAAGUGAAUAGCUGAGCAGUUAAUUAUGUUUUUAAAUAGAUCUGCACAGGUUAGGCAAACAUAUACACUGCCGUUCAAAUGUUUUGGAUCACUUAGAAAGCAAUUCUUUUGUCCAUUAAAUUGAUCAGAAAUAGAGUGUAGACAUUGUUCAUGAUAUACAUGACUACUGUAGCUGGAAACGUCUGAAUUUCGGUGGAAUAUACGUAGCCAUGCAAAGACCCAUUUUCAGCAACCAUCUCUCCUGAGUUCAAAUGACACAUUGUGUUUGCUAAUCAAUUCAUUUUAAAAGGCUGAUUGAUCAUUAGAAAAGCCUUUUGCGAUUGUUAGCCUCACUGAAAACUGUUUUCCUGAUUUAACUAUAAAACUGCCCAGUGCAUAACUGAGCAAGAGAACAAGUACAUUUAAGUGUGUGGUUUGAGAAACAGACACCUCACAGGUCUCAGCAUCAACAGUGAAGAGGAGACUCCGGGAUUUUGGCCUAUCAGGCAGCUGCAAAUAAAAAGCCAUAUCUCAGACUGGCCAAUAAAAAGACUAAAAUGGGCCAAACAGCACAGACAUUGAACAGAGGAAGGACUCUGCUUAGUGUUCAUGGUAUAUUAUUUUGUUUAAAGACAGUUUAGAAUUCUAUUUACAGUAUAUUUCCUCCGUCAGUCCUGAUAAUUAUAUUGAAACGAUCCGAAGAGGCGAGUGCUAAUGACUCAUUGUUCUGCACUGAAGGGGCUGUUGAAGUGUUUGUUUAGUUUACAACAGAACAUCUGUUUAUCCGUACACAGGAAGUCACGUUCAUUCAAAGCGCAACAGUAAUCAGCCAAUGGGCUUACAGUGCUGUAAUGUGUAUUCUGGGUUGCAUUGUGUAUAAAGUAGAGAUACGAUCGGAGGCCUCUUUGAGAUUGAGUGAGAUGACAUUGAGUCUGUAACAUCAUGAACAAUGGACUAUCAAAUGCUUCAAUAAAUAAUUGAAUGACUCUUUCCCUUGACGACCGGGGACACGAUCAUUAUCUAACCACUAUAUGAAACAGCUGAUUUCUAACAGGGUGCAAAGGACCAUGGGACAAUCAGAAACCAGCUCUUAAGCAGUAUUGUGUUUUUUUCAUGUUUAGUUAUUCUAGUUAAUACAGUACAUGUGGUUAUUGAAGUUAUGGGUUGUUUGUGUUCAGGGGAUUGGGACCGUGUGAAUUAAAAUGUGGUUACCGUGACCGAGCCUUACACGGCCGGGGUUCAUGUUCCUUGUUGAAUUGUGAAAUAAAGUGUGAUUUUUCCUGGGGUUGUGUGGUGUAGGAACACAGGAAUUGUAUAAAAUACCA